CCCGGCGAUUAUGGCGGAGAUGCCACACCUGUUCCCAUUCCGAACACAGAAGUUAAGCUCUCCCGCGCCGAUGAUACUGAAAUCGGGAAAGUAGGUCGUCGCCGGGU
rnacentral:rRNA from 1 species